CAAGGAAGGCAGCAGGCACGCAAAUUACCCACUCCCAGAAUUGGGGAGGUAGUGACGAUAAAUAACGGAACGUAUCUCGAUGAGACGCGUUACCGGAACGAUCCAGACAUAUAUAAGCUGGGCAAAAGCUAUUGGAGGGCAAGUCUGGUGCCAGCAGCCGCGGUAAUUCCAGCUCCAAUAGCGUAUAUUAAACUUGCUGCGGUUGAACCGCUCGUAGUUGGAUUGCGAUAUUGGGCCACGGUCCAGUCUCCUUGCACGGAGUUGGUUUUUGGCUUUGCCACCGUGUGCCAUCAGAAUCGGUUGAUUGCCAUGAUUGUUCGCGAUUCUCUUUGUUGAGUGUCACGGACGACAUGGACGUUUACUUUGAGAAAAUAAGAGCGCUCAAAGCGGGCUGCUCAAGAAAGCUCGAACGAAAUUCCUUGGGAUAGUGAAAGAUGAUCUCGCUGGUAUGAAUAAAACCACGAGGUAAUGAUUAAAAGAGACAGACGGUGGCAUUCGUACUGCUACGUUAGAGGUGAAAUUCUUGGAUCGUAGCAAGACGAACAAUUGCGAAGGCAUUUGCCAAGAAUGUUUUCAUUAAUCAAGAACGAAAGUUGCAGGAUCGAAGGCGAUCAGAUACCGCCCUAGUCGCGACUUUAAACGAUGCCAACUGGCAAUUCGGCGAUGUCUACUUUUAUUGACGACUCGCUGAGCAGCCCCCGGGAAACCAAAGUUUUUCGGUUCCGGGGGAAGUAUGGUUGCAAAGCUGAAACUUAAAGGAAUUGACGGAAGGGCACCACCAGGAGUGGAGCAUGCGGCUUAAUUUGACUCAACACGGGAAAGCUCACCCGCCCAGAACACUGUCAGGAUUGACAGAUUGAGAGCUCUUUCUUGAUUCAGUGGGUAGUGGUGCAUGGCCGUUCUUAGUUGGUGGAGCGAUUUGUCAGGCCAAUCCCGAUAACGAACGAGACUCUGCCCUACUAAAUAGUGACGGCGUUUUUGCUACGUCGACUUGUCACUUCUUAGAGGGACCAGCGGCGGUACAAAGCCGCACGAGAAAGAGCAAUAACAGGUCUGUAAUGCCCUUAGAUGGGCGGGGCUGCACGCGUGCUACACUGGUGGCGCCAACGAGCGUUCAAACUUGGCUUGACAAAGUCAAGAGAUCAAUUGAAAUGUCUGUCGUGACUGGGAUAGGGAAUUGCAAUUAUUUCCCUUGAACGAGGAAUUCCCAGUAGGCGUAAGUCAUCAGCUUGCGUUGACUACGUCCCUGCCCUUUGUACACACCGCCCGUCGCUACUACCGAUUGGAUGAUUUAGUGAGGACUUUGGAUCGACGCUGCGUGCUUGACUGUGUUUAUCAGGCAGGCUGUAGUGUUGAGAAAUUGGCCGAACCAAUUCAUCUAGAGGAAGUAAAAGUCGUAACAAGGUUUCCGUAG
rnacentral:rRNA from 1 species